AUUGAACGCUGGCGGCAGGCCUAACACAUGCAAGUCGAACGAGUGGCGGACGGGUGAGUAAUGUCUGGGAAACUGCCUGAUGGAGGGGGAUAACUACUGGAAACGGUAGCUAAUACCGCAUACCAUCAGAUGUGCCCCGAUGGGAUUCGCUAGUUGGUGGGGUAACGGCUUACCAAGGCGACGAUCCCUAGCUGGUCUGAGAGGAUGACCAGCCACACUGUAACGGAGACACGUGCCAGACUCCUACGGGAGGCAGGAGUGGGGAAUAGUGCACAAUGGGCGCUAGCCGGAUGCAGCCAUGCCGCGUGUAGGAAGAAGGCCGUCGGGUUGCAAAGUACUUUCAGCGGGGAGUCGUUACCCGCAGAAGAAGCACCGGCUAACUCCGUGCCAGCAGCCGCGGUAAUUC
rnacentral:rRNA from 1 species